rnacentral:lncRNA from 1 species
GAUAUGACCCCUUGGAAAUCCCCAUGGCCAGAUGGAUUUCCAACUGGUUUUAUCAGAAUUCCUUGAGCAUUAUAGAAAACGAUGUGUGCACUUUCAUUAAGAAGUUGUGGGACAAGCCUAGUAGCAUUUUUGAGGUAAACUAUGUUUAAAUUUGUCUAAUUCCUAAACUCCAAUCACCUCAGAUAGUCAAUCACGUUAGACCUAUAACACUUUAUAACACCAUUUAUAAGGUCCUUAGUAAAAUUAUAGUGAAUGGGCUAAAAAUAGGCAUAAAUGAAAUAGUUUCUCAUUAUCAAGCAAGAUUCAUUCCCAAUAGGAGCAUCCAUGAAAAUAUAGUGGUGGCCCAUGAAAUGAUCAAUAACAUGAAUAUGCUCAAAGGAAAAAGGGAUACUUUGCAAUCAAUAUUGACUUAGCAAAAGGUUAUGAUAUGAUGAGUUGGCCUUUUGUGAACAAUGUCUUAAUUGAGUUAGGAAUUCAAGAUAAGUUGAGAUAUAUCAUCAUGGAUUCUAUUUCGUUUGUGAAAAUGUGUGUUCUUUAGAAUGGUAAGAAAGAUGAUUACUUCGAAACCAAAAAUACACUUCGACAAAGACAUCCCAUUUCUCCUUAUCUUUUUGUUCUAUGUAUGGACAAGCUAUCGCAUUUGAUAAUUGAGCAAGUAGAUGAGGGAAAAUGAGAAGGAAUGAAAGCUGAAAAGUUAGGCUCCAUUAUUUCUCACUUUAUGUUUGCUGACGAUCUCCUUUUGUUUGGAAGAGUUGGAGAGAUACAAAUAAGUGCAUAAUGGAAGUAUUAGAUAAAUUUUGUAGUGAAUAUGGGCAGAGAAUUAGCUAUGACAAAUCUAGUAUUUUGUUCUCCAAAAAUAUUUGUGUUCAAACAAAGAGAAAGAUCCUUCAAUUGGCUGUAAUUAAAGAGGCAAAAGAGCUAUGAACUUAUCUAGGAGUGACUCCCACUCGAAAGUGUCCUAAGGUGAAAGACUAUCGAUCUCUAGUGGAACAGGUAAAAACUAACUUGUCUAGCGGGAAUAGUAAACAACUGUCUUUUGGAGGGAGAAUAACCCUAAUUAAUUUAGUACCAUAGGCAAUUCCAACUUAUAAUAUGAUGGGUAAUAUGAUACCAAAAAUAUUCCUAAAGACUAUUCAACAAGUCCAAAUGCAAUUCAUAUGGGGUAAGUCUUUAGGGAAAAGCAUUUGCAUAUUCUGAGAUGGGAAAAAGUAGCUAAGCCUAAAAAGAUUGGUAGGUUGGGGACUGAGAAAAUUGUCUGAGAUGAAUAAAACUUGCAUUGCCAAGAUGGGGUGGAUGAUUAAAAUUAGAGAAAAAGGCUUUCUGGUGUGAUGUGAUUAGAGGUAAGUAUGACAAAAGAUUCAGCUUGACAAAUGGAACUGAAGCUAAAUCUUAUGAUUCAAGUCCUGGGAAGUGUAUAGUAAAUGAGUGGGCACUAUUAGAUAACAUGACAUUUUGGACAGUUGGAAAUGGUACUAGAACCAGAGCUUGGCAUGACUGUUGGAUAUCUCUUGGAAUUAUUCUCAAAGACUUCUUGCAAGUUAAUGUUGAUGAUCAAAGGAAUGUUACUAUUGCAUACAUUAUAACAUCUAAUGGUGACUGGAAUUGGAACUUGCUUAGGAAUAUUUUUACUCAGGAUGUCUUGGAUAGAUUUAUAUCAAUUCAACCUUCUAGUACUGCAGAUGAUGAUGAUUCUUGUAACUGGUCUGACAUAAAUAAUGAAGCAUUCACUAUUUCAAAUGAUUUUAAAAUGAUCAACAAUCACAAUGUGCGCACAUAUAUGAGACAAUUGAGUAAUAUAUGGAAUAUCAAAGCCCUUGAAAGAAUCAGGUCCUUCACGCGGUUUGUCUUUCCUAAUGGCAUUAAGACUAGGCAAUUCCCACAUCAUCACAAGAUUGGGGGACCCUUUUUGUGUUGACUAUGUAGGUAUAAAGAAGUCCAUUAUUCAUUCUCUGAGAGAUUGUAUUAUGUUAAAGCAUAUAUGGAUGUAGCUAGUUCGAAACACAUAUAGGGAAACUUUCUCCAAUUCUAAUUUGUAGGAAUGGCUGAACAUUAAUAUGACUCAAACUCGAGUGCUAAGGAAGAUCACCAAGAUUGGCAAUCAAUCUGGGCUAUUAGGUGCCACACAAAUUGGUAUUGGCGUAAUCAAAUGCAACAUGUUACGUAUUAUUUGAUGCCAUAUAAUCUGGUCACUGAUAUCUUGAUGAAGGUUCAACAUUACCGCAAGAACGCGACUCUAUCAAAUAAGUUCUCGACUUAUCCAAGAGCAAUGUGACAAUUAAAGUGGGUUAAGUCUGAUGAAGAUUGGUUUGCUCUUAAUACUGAUGACGUUAUUCAGAAUGCAAUUAAAGUUGGGUGUGAUGGAAUUCUUAGGAAUAAUGAUGAUGCUUGGAUGAAAGGCUUUGCAAAGUCUUUAGGAAGAUGCUCUUCCAUGGUUGUAGAAACUUAAGGAAUUUUGGAAGGUAUUAAAAUGGUGAAAGACAUGGAUUUCAAUGGAGUAAUGAUCUAAAUAGACCGUAAAUAGGUUAACAAUGCUCCAAUUAAGGAAAAUGACACUCUAAUUGAAGAUUUUAACUUACUUAAAUAAAUCAAAAUUGCUUUACGGUAGAAUAUAGAACCUCGAGUCAUUCAUAUGUAUCAAAAAAACAAACAAAUGGCAAAUGAUAUGACAAAUCUGAUAGCGUCAAAUUUGAGUGAUAUUAUCUUCAUUGAGGAAUGAUAUUUAAUAAUUUAUUUUCUUUUUUUUUUACUCCGACCCUCCCAAAACAAAAAAUAAAAUAAAAUGAAAAGGGCAUGAUUGUAAUUACAGAAACUAAAACCGGUUGCAAUAGAACGAUAUUCGGCGAAGAUGCGGCAGAUACCAUGAAACCCCACCAUGCCGCUAAAACAAAACCAAAAAAAUACAAUAAAAUGUGUUUUUCAUAUAAUUGGUAAAGUAGAAUUAGAAGAAGCUGAUAGAUAGCAGCGGCGAACCCCAAACCCACUCUCUUCCAGAAAUUUCAUGUCCAUCUUGCCCUCACAAACCCAACCGGCAUCUUCAUCAUCUUCGUCUUUACCAAUCCCUAGCCCUAAUUCACAACAUGGAAUUUCAGAUACUUCCUCUUCUCUUUCCCCUCAACUCAACCAUGCUCUCGGAUCUCUUCAGAUCUCCGACUAUCCAGGUUCCAUUAAAGAUUUUCCCCUAAUUUGGAUUAUGUUUUAGGGGCAGAGAAUAGAUAAUAUACGAGCUGAUACAUUAAUUUGAUUUAUAUUUUUUGUGGCUACGUUAUGGUUCACCCAAUUUGAUAUUCAAAAUGCUUUGGGGGAGUAGGGUUCAUCGUUUUUUUGCAUGUAAAAUUUGGGUACUGAAUCAAUGGAGAGGUUUUUUUUAGUAUAAGUUUGUGAUUUUUUUGGGUGUGUUUGACGAUUAGGUAGUUGAAAGGGCAGGAUUUAUCUAUUUCUUAUUAUUAUUGAAAUUUCAAAGGUGAAUGAUCAUUUGAGUUAAGGAGUGGUUUUGAGUUAUUCUUGAAUGAUUUUCUUUAUUGGUUAGAUGUUGUUAGUUCCAAUGAAUCAUUUUGUGCUGUAUUUGGCAGGUCCAUCAACUCCAGCUGCAGAAGAUUCCGGUGGACCCUCCGAAAAGGUGUUUUAAGUUUUUUACUUUACAUCUGGAUGGGCUGGAUUGUUUAUUUAUCUAUUGAACUCUUGUAUUUUGUUGCUGCAUGUGUCUAACUUGAAAUAAGAUUUUGUCUGAAAUGUCGGUUUUUAAGAAACUUAUGUCUUAUGUUGAUUAAUUAACUUGUUUUCUAACUUGUUAGAAGUCUUGAACUGAUAUUGAUUAUAUGUUGUGUGUAUCUGCGUGUUCCUUUUGUUUUCUUUGCUUUUAGGUGACUGAAUUAGAGUCUUCAAGUGGUAUGAAGGCACCUCAGCGAAACUCUAGAUCACAUUCUAGGAGUCAAUCAGGAAGACGGACGGCUGGACUCUCCCAUUCUGAGGGUAUGACAACGGGAACAGUUUCUUCUCAUAGAAAUCAACAGGCUACUGGAUCAGCAUAUUCUCAAGGAAGCACCCCUUUCCCAGGAAGGAAAUCUCAGAUGGCGAAUGGCAAUCACUUGCUCAACUUUCAGUAUGAUCCAAUAUCCCGUUCUCAACAAAGGGGUCCUCCCCCUCCCCCUCCUGCAAGAAGGCAGCGGAAGAGAAGACCAUACAACAAAGAUUUGUUUUUACAGGCAAAUUUCAAAUUCAUGGUGCUAGAUUCAGGAAAUUAUUCCCCCGAGUCAAUGGAUCCAGAUAAAAUGUUGCAGUGGGAAGAUAUUAUAUGUGUGACAUAUUCGACCCCUUCUCCAAUUCAGUGUCCAAUUUGUUUGGAGCAUCCCCUGUGUCCCCAAAUAACCUCAUGUGGACACAUUUUUUGUUUCCCAUGUAUUCUUCAAUACUUGUUGUUGGGUGAAGAAGAUCACAAAGGUGAUUGCUAAUUCAGUGUCCAAUUUGUUUGGAGCAUCCCCUGUGUCCCCAAAUAACCUCAUGUGGACACAUUUUUUGUUUCCCAUGUAUUCUUCAAUACUUGUUGUUGGGUGAAGAAGAUCACAAAGGUGAUUGCUGGAAAAGGUGUCCGUUGUGCUUUGUGAUGAUAUCUGUCAAGGACUUAUAUUCAGUUCACAUCACAAAUGUCAAACAAUAUCAAGUAGGAGAUAAUAUUGAGUUCACUUUCUUAACGAGGAAGAAGGAUUCAUUUACUCUCUCACAUAAAAAUAAACAAGAGACUGAUAACUCAUCAUGUGGCCAAGGAGAUGUAUGUGACCCAUUUUCUAAGUUCAGACUCACAUUAGAUGUAGAUCUCUCAGUGAGACAUGCAAUAUCAGAUCUAGAUGGUUGGCUGGCCAGAGCUGAUUCAGGUCUUGUCGAUGACCUGGAGAAGCUUCCAUAUGUUAGUGCUGCAAUGCAACAACUAAAACAGAGAAAGAAGUAUUGGAAUGAACAAUAUCAGAUCUAGAUGGUUGGCUGGCCAGAGCUGAUUCAGGUCUUGUCGAUGACCUGGAGAAGCUUCCAUAUGUUAGUGCUGCAAUGCAACAACUAAAACAGAGAAAGAAGUAUUGGAAUGAGCACAGGGCUUCUAACAGUGAAAAAUCUUCUAGCCUCAUU